GAUGAACGCUGGCGGCGUGCCUAAUACAUGCAAGUCGAGCGAACAGAUGAGGAGCUUGCUCCUCUGACGUUAGCGGCGGACGGGUGAGUAACACGUGGAUAACCUACCUCUAAGACUGGGAUAACUUCGGGAAACCGGAGCUAAUACCGGAUAAUAUAUUGAACCGCAUGGUUCAAUAGUGAAAGACGGUUUUGCUGUCACUUAUAGAUGGAUCCGCGCCGCAUUAGCUAGUUGGUAAGGUAACGGCUUACCAAGGCAACGAUGCGUAGCCGACCUGAGAGGGUGAUCGGCCACACUGGAACUGAGACACGGUCCAGACUCCUACGGGAGGCAGCAAUAGGGAAUCUUCCGCAAUGGGCGAAAGCCUGACGGAGCAACGCCGCGUGAGUGAUGAAGGUCUUCGGAUCGUAAAACUCUGUUAUUAGGGAAGAACAAAUGUGUAAGUAACUAUGCACGUCUUGACGGUACCUAAUCAGAAAGCCACGGCUAACUACGUG
rnacentral:rRNA from 1 species